rnacentral:rRNA from 1 species
GACGAACGCUGGCGGCGUGCUUAACACAUGCAAGUCGAACGGAAAGGCCCUGCUUUUGUGGGGUGCUCGAGUGGCGAACGGGUGAGUAACACGUGAGUAACCUGCCCUUGACUUUGGGAUAACUUCAGGAAACUGGGGCUAAUACCGGAUAGGAGCUCCUGCUGCAUGGUGGGGGUUGGAAAGUUUCGGCGGUUGGGGAUGGACUCGCGGCUUAUCAGCUUGUUGGUGGGGUAGUGGCUUACCAAGGCUUUGACGGGUAGCCGGCCUGAGAGGGUGACCGGCCACAUUGGGACUGAGAUACGGCCCAGACUCCAACGGGAGGCAGCAGUGGGGAAUAUUGCACAAUGGGCGGAAGCCUGAUGCAGAAACGCCGCGUGCGGGAUGACGGCCUUCGGGUUGUAAACCGCUUUCGCCUGUGACGAAGCGUGAGUGACGGUAAUGGGUAAAGAAGCACCGGCUAACUACGUG